UGCUGGUGUCUUUGUUCCUACUCUGGCUUGCUUGUGACCUGCUCUAGAGUGGAGAUUCUGUAUUUAUGCUGGGUUUCUGGGAGGUGAAGAGUGCCCGGAGACCACUGGAACAUGGGUGGCCUGUGGAGCAGACAGCUGGGUGGACACAGAGCCACAGGACAACCGGGCAUCACUGCAAAGACUCUGCCAUGUGUGGUGGAGAGAUGUGUUGAUGGCAGAGCCCCAGAGAGCCUUGGCCUGAGGUGGCACUAUCCCUCAGAUGGGAGUAAAGGGGGACACCACUUCCAGCUUGGUGAUGAAGGGCUUGGGUGUGCUCUUGGAGCAGGGAGGGGCAACUUCAGUGGCCCACAGCAGCCAGGCCCACCUCUCAACAUCUCUUUGAGCUGUGAGCUCAUCAGGAGGUGAACCAAUGUGUAGGUAGCACCUCUCCAUCCAAUCACCUCUCCAGGAAUCUCUUAAUUCAGUCCAGUUGGUGAUCAGGAUUCCUGUCACACACUGCAGGUUGUCGUCCCCAUGACAGUGCACCCAAGGCACACCAAGGAGAGAGCCUGGUCACAUCCCCAGGGACUUACAGGGAAGUGGUGGAUGGCAUGGAAAGGCAUUCUUGCAGCACAGAAUCGGAUCAGUUUUCAAAAGUCUUACACAGACAGUGGAAGGCAAAUAUGCUCUUUCUAAGACACAAUACAGCUCCGACCACCACCAGGACUGUGCUGCAGGCUGUACAUUCCCACUGCAGGAUGGCAAUGUGUGUCUCACUUAAAGCUUCCUCCCCUGCACCCUUGCUUCUGUGAUAUAUGAUGAUUGCUCUCACCAUGUGGAAGACCAUUCACAGUGCAGAAAACUCAGAACAAGAAGCAAAGCACUGCUAUCUUUUCUUCUUUCUCUCCCUACCCACUCCUGCUCAGCAGACCGGCAGUGGCAGGGUGCAUAGCACUAGGAAGUUGUAUGCUGCAUUCACACACACACACACACACACACACACACACACACACGACAGUUAUGUGCAAUGCUGGGAGUUUUUAUGUGUCUGUGAUAUAUGCACACAGAUCCACAUCUGUACUGUGGGGAGACACUGGCCAAAGGAGUAGGUGAACCUGAGUGAGCUAAAGAAGGGACCUCGGGGAACAACAGUUCCCAUGCUCCUGGAAUGCAUGUUUAGAAAUUAGAGCAGAAUCUGUAGGACAACAGUCAGUAUAAUUAAGAGCAAGUUACUGUCAAAGAUGUUUACUUUGGCCAAUGUAUUUUUUCUGCCCCAAUAAGAUUGCUGAAACUAGGUCGACAUGUGUCAUGUAACAAACCCAUCCCAUUCCAGCCCCAUCCCCAAAUUUCCUAUGCAGUACAUUGCAAAAUGCUUUUCUUCUAUGUCUUUCUUCUCAUGUCCUUGAGUUACAAAUAAUCGCAGAGGUCUCAGCUGGUUGCUGUUUCCCUGAGGCACUCUUAUGCCCAAGAAGUAUCUGUUCUGAGUUCUUAGUGAUUGAAUUAAAUCUCACCUCUGAGUAAUCGUCUUCAUCCUCUAUGCAGCCGUGGUUGCACACUGUGAUCCCUGCAUCACCCCUGAACUUCUGUGACCUGCUUUGCCAGGGCAAGUACUUUCCUUAGGGUCCAUCUGCCAUGCUGUCUGUGUGCAGAUUCAACAACCCCCCUGCCCCGUUCAACCCAUGUACACAUGCGCACAGUGGACUUGACCAUGUCCACUGUUUUAUUUUCAGGCUGUAUUUGUUUAUGUAUUUUGCAUGUGGCAGUGAGACUUGGUCCAUAAAACAUUGACUUGGAGCCAGGCACCGUGAUGCAUGCCUGCGAUCAGCACUGUAGGAAACUCAGGCAGGAAGAUCUCAAGUUUGAGCCCAGUCUUAGCAACUUAGUGACUUAGUGAGACACUAUCUCAAAAAUAAAACAUAAAAAGGGUUAGGGAUUUAGCUCAAUACAAAGGCCCUGGGUUCAAUCCUCAGACCACACACACAUGCACACACACACAGACACACACAAAACUUGGUUUACCUUGACCUUGUGGGUUAGCUUACGGGUUGCAUUCCUCACACUGGAAGCUGUUUUCAGGGAGGAAAGUGGAGAACUCUGUACUUUGCAGGUUUUCUUUCUGUCUUUGCAUGCAUUCACAAUUCACUUUAUAAAGAACGACACACAUUUAUGUGAGGUGGUAGCCAGUGAUCAUGGCCUCGAUUUUUUAUUUCUCUGUCUGUGAAGGAGUAGUACCACCAUGAAGCAGUUACUUUGGGAGGCUCUGUGCCUGCCCAAUGUCACAUAGCCAAAGGGCAGCUGAGACCUUGGCACCAGAGGCCAUCCUACCAACCGUCGG
ensembl:lncRNA